ensembl:lncRNA
ACUUAUACUUAUUGUUUAAGUUAUACGUACUUAAUCAAAACAACCUAACUGCAAUUUGAUGUUACUUGGAAGGUGCAAUAACAACAACAACAAAAAAAAAAACGUGAGUUAUCGUAUUUUGCAAAUGAGCUCUUCAUAUAUACAGUAGGUGGCCAUCCAAAAUGAUGGUUCUACCGCCGCGCGUACCGCCGCUGUUGCGUCUGCAAAGUGCAUUUGCAGCUUUUGACCGCUGAGUGGCGCUUUAACCACAAGUUAUCAAACAAGCGCGUCAAAGCACAUUUUCGCAAAUAGCCGUCAGCUUUGCCUCGCUGGUGUGUUACAUUUGACAGCUGCAAUCAGAGAAAAUGAAAGAAAAACACAGUAGUUAAAAUAUUUAAUAUUCACAGAUGAACGUUUAGUACUUAUGUGGCAAGUGUAAUGUUGUUACACUAGAUUAUUGAAAUUAUUAUUAACUAAUGGCACUAACGCAGGAGGCUUAUUUUGAAAUUUGUAUUAGGGAAAAUUGCACAGUGAUGAAGAGUCAUGUGAUCGCAAGCACAAUAAUAUUGUCACUUAUUUCUUUUUACAUAUAUAAUUUGUAUUUCUUUGUUAUUAGUUUGGUUUUCUCCCUUUCUUAUGAAAUUGUUAAUCUAUAUAAAAUGUUUAGGAAGAACUGUUUACGUGAGUUACGUCGUCUGUAAGCACGAGGGAAGAGCUGAUCUCUCUUUCGCGGGAUGUCAUUGCGAUGAGAGGCACUGCUAGACCUGAUAUUCUCCUGUUACUACCUGAUGGUGUCUGUUAUACUUUGAUACAGGAUGUCAUUGCGAUGAGAGGCACUGCUAGACCUGAUAUUCUCCUGUUACUACCUGAUGGUGUCUGUUAUACUUUGAUACAGAAACUUCAGAAGCCGAAAGUAAACCACGUGACAACCGCAUCAUGGUGUGAGGUCUCUUUUAUUAUCAAAACACACAACGCAGAAGAAAACCCACUACACUUAUGAAGUCGUGUGUUUCUUAGAACGAAUUUAAACAGGAUAAAUAUCAAGCCUAUGAGCCUGUGCUUAUAUUUUCUCUAAGCUGCACAGUAUUACACCAUAUUUUAGAUUUGACACAUUUAAUAGGUGUGCAGUAUUAUUUAUAUAAUAUGAAUUAUGUGUUAUAUUAUUCUAAAGAAAUUGUGGUUUACGUUGCAUUGGAGCAUUAAAAGUGGUAGCCUAUUUUAGUGAGGUAGGCUACAUGGAUUUAUAUGCAAAAUGUCAAUAUUCUCACAUAUUAGGCUUAUAUUUUAAUUUAUAUUUUAAAAUUCCUUCAAUAAAACAGAAUGCAUUUUUGUCACGCACUACUUUAUUCGUUACCUGUCCUUUAUUUUGAUGGAUAACUGAUUAAGAAAUUGUUGCGUGUUUUAUAAAUUAUUUUCUUUUAGUAAAACGUGAGGCACUGUAUAAUUUCACUCCCAUUAUUUAGGCCUAAUUAAGCAAGAAACGAAUAAAAAUUAAACCUGCACGAUUUAGCUAAAAUCACUGAAACUCAAAAAAAAAAAAAAUGGAUGGAUUAAUAAAUCGUCCUCACGUUUAAACUCAAGUUCUCUCAUUAUAAUCAACAAAAUACACGAUGCAAAAAAAAAAAAAAAUUCACACCUUUAUUUCGACUCCUACAAGCUAUACAGAACUACCCCCCAAAAAAACAAACCCCCUCCAGCUGAACUGAAUUCAGUCUGUUUUUGGCUGUGAGGAACAUGUUACUGGGUUGAAACAUGCCAGCACUCACAUCAGCCCUACACUUUUUAUUAAUUAUUUUCUCGCAGCCCAUAUUAUUUUCACAAGACCAAUAAUAACAAAUUAUCAAUUGAUAAUUAAUUUGAGAAAAUCAUUGUUAUUUGUGAAGAUAAGCAUUUGAGGAAGGCUUUAAGACCAAGCGGAGUCCUCCGUCAGCUGCUCCCGCUUCACAGGCCGAGCGACUCGCGCUAACUGACCCAGCUUCACAGUCCGCGGUUUGAUUUUACAAAAUCAGUUUGCGCGAAUACAACUCAAUGAUCAUGAGCCCAACAUUUAGCAAGGCAGGAAAACAUUCAGUCUACAUGGAAGACAUAUUUCAUUGUAAGUUACAGAUGGUAGACAACCAAAAUGGGUAAUACCGCCGCGCGUACCGCCGCCGCAGGGCCGCGGCGUUAACUGCAAGUCAGUCGCGUGUUAAAUUAAUUCGCGAAACUACCGCCAGGUGGCGCAAAGGGACGGAUUGCGAACUGAAUGAAAUUGUAAAAUGAGAUAAAAGGAGGAGGUAAAACAAUAACAUUAUGAUAUAACAUUGUACCAUCUUUAAAAACCAUUAAAAAAUGUACAGUGAGUUAAUUUAAAAAUGUAGGAUAGUCUUAGGCUACAGUCUAGGUACUCAUCAAAAAUUAAAAGAAAGACCUUUACACAAAGGAUCUUGUUAUUAAACAGUCAUUAAAUAUAAGGCCUAUAUAUACGGAUAAAAAGCUAAAUGUUUUCAUUUCGGUUCAUUCUUGGUUUAAAAAAAAAAAAUCCUUCAGGUUCCAUUUGCAGAUCGAAAUGAGAACGGUCCAGCAUUUAGCAAUAAUUAUUAUUAUUCUUGAUUUUUCAAACUGCUAACACUUUGCAUUUUUGAAUUAUGCCUUUACUGUGUGACCAAAAAUUUAGUAUUUUCUGUUUCAGCUGUUUGAUCGCGCUGGGGCUUCGCGCACAUUCAUUGGAAACAGUAGCCGUUCACCGUGCCAUUCGCCGCGAGCAGCGGCCCACUUUGGCAUAUUUUUGCCAAUUAUGAUUUUUUUUUUCCGUUGACACUGAAACAUGCAUGAACUACAAAGCCUAUUUACCUAAUGAAUAAUAGUUAAGCUUGAAAUAGCCAACAUCAUGAAUAUGGAAACGUUUGGAUUUCUCCCAAAUGAGAGCCCAACCUUACCUUAUGGUUCGCUUUAAAUUAUUAUUCAUUUAUUUUUUUGUUUGUUUAUAGCUAAGCCUAUAUUAUUAUAUACUGCAAUUUUAUUUAUCCAUUAGAAUAAAAUAUUUUUAAUUCUUGUUCUGUUCUGAUAAAUUUGUUAAAUUUAAAAGAUUUGUUGUAAAGAGAAGGGAACUAAAAAUAUCCUGUUGGCACAUUAUUAGGCCCGCCGUUAUUAUUUCUGAAUGUAAUAAAAUGCAACUUAUACAUUACUUAUAUUUUUUUUCCUCUCACAAACUUAAUUUAUUUUAUAGCAUGUUUAAAAAUAAAUAAAUAAAUAAAUAAAUAAAUAAAUAAAUAAAAAAUGCAGCAAACGAAAAUAGCGAUUAAUCGGUUAAAAUUUGUUACUGUGGGUUAACAGUAAUUAUAAUUAUUAUAUACUUAGGAACAGAGUCUGGGCCUAAUCUAGGCUAUCCAGGGUUUUUUAUUUUUUUUAUUUUCAUUGCAUCUGAAAAUGACUUUGUGCAGCAAAUUCACUUCGCACGCUCAACCUGCCUCGCGUGUUGCUCAGCUGUGGACGAUUUCAAAAUGUUUAAUAUAAAGGUUGAUGUCACAUUUUAUACAGGAAUUGUUCAUUAAAAAAAAAAAAUCAAAUUAUAUUGAUAGUCUAAAUGAACUUAGACAAUAUAAUUAGAACUAUUUAACAUGCACUGUGACAUUUUACCCUUUUUAACUUAUAAACUCUUUGAGAUUUUAAAGUCAGUUUAAUAGUAUUGAAGUUCAAGUUUUUUAAAAAAAGGAUUAAUAUGCAAAAUGUCAAUAUUCUCAUAUAUUAGGCCUAUAUUUUAAUUUAUAUUUUAAAAUUCCUUUAAUAAAACAACAUGCAUUUUUGUUAUUCGUUACCUGUCCUUUAUUUUGACAGACAACUUCUUGGGAAAAUAUAUUUGUCUGUACACUGAUUAAGAAAUUGCUGCGUGUUUUAUAAAUUAUUUUCUUUAUUUUAGUAAAACGUGAGGCACUGUAUAAUUUCGUUCCCAUUAUUUAGGCCUAAUUAAAACAAGAAACGAAUAAAUUAAACCUGCACGAUUUAGCUAAAUCAUUGAAAGUCUAAAGAAUGGACGGAUUAAUAAAA